rnacentral:rRNA from 1 species
UGAAAUUAUAAUAUUAUUAAUAAUAUUAUUUUUUUUAUAAUUUAUAUUAGUAAAUUAAAUAGUUUUAGUAUUUUAUUAGAAAAAAUAUUAAUUUAUUAUAGUGUAUAAGUAAUGUGAAUGAUUUUUUUUAAUUUUUUAAAAAAAAGAUUUAAAUUUUCGUACCUUUUGUAUCAGGGUUUAUUAAAAAAUUUUUUUUGAUAAAAAUUUCUCGAAUCUAAAAGAGCUAAUUAAAUAUAAUUUUUAUUGUAAAAUAAAUAUUAGGGAUAUUUAAUUGGAAAUGAAAUGUUAAUCGAUUUUAGAUAUAUCUAGUUUUUUAAGAAAUAAAUUUAAUUUAUCUAUUUAAUAAUAAUAAUUUAUUUAAUUAAUUUAUUAUUUUAAAUAUAUUAUAUUUUUAGGGAUGAGCUUAAAAAUAUAUAUAUUUAUAAAUUAUUAAAUUUUAUUAAUAAAAAAUAAAUAUGAUUGAGAAUGUCAAUUUUUAAAAAAAUAUUAUAGUUAAUUUUUUUUUUAUUAUAUUUAUAUUAAUUUUAAAUUUUUUAUUAAAAUAUUUAAUUUAGUUUAGUAAUUAAAGAAAAAAUGAUAAAAUUAGUAAAUAUUUAUAUAUAUAUAUAUAUAUAUAUAUAAUUUAUGUAUAUAUAUAUUUUUUUGUAAGGUUAUUUAAAGGAAUUCGGCAAAUGGAAUUUUCACCUGUUUAAUAAAAACAUGUCUUUUUGAUUAUAAUUUAAAGUCUAACCUGCCCAAUGAGGAAUUAAAUGGCCGCAGUAUUUUAACUGUGCAAAGGUAGCAUAAUCAUUAGUUUUUUAAUUAAAAGCUUGAAUGAAAGGUUUGAUGAAAAAAUAACUGUCUCUAUUUAAUUUUAUUUUGAAUUUUAUUUUUAAGUUAAAAAGCUUAAAUUUUAUUAAAAGACGAGAAGACCCUAUAGAGUUUAAUAAUUAAUUAAAUUUAUAAUAUUUUGAUUUUAUAAAAUAAUUAAAAUUAAUUAUUUAAUUGGGGUGAUUUAAAAAUUUGUUUAACUUUUUUUAUAUAAAAACAUUUAUGUAUGAUUAAAUGAUCCUUAUUUAAAGAUUAAAAGAUAAAAUUACCUUAGGGAUAACAGCGUAAUUUUUUUAUAGAGUUCAUAUCGAAAGAAAAGAUUGCGACCUCGAUGUUGGAUUAAAAUUAAUUUUUGGUGUAGAAGCUAAAAGUGGGAGGUCUGUUCGACCUUUAAAAUUUUACAUGAUCUGAGUUUAAACCGGUGUAAGCCAGGUUGGUUUCUAUCUUUAAUAAAAGUAAUAUUUUAGUACGAAAGGACCAAAUAUUAAAUUUAAAAUUUUAAUUAUUAGAUUAUUAU